GAGUUUGAUCCUGGCUCAGAACGAACGCUGGCGGCAGGCUUAACACAUGCAAGUCGAACGCCCCGCAAGGGGAGUGGCGCAAGGGUGAGAAACGCGUGGGAAUUUGCCUUUCGGUUCGGAAUAACCACAGGAAACUGUGGCUAAUACCGGAUGGUCCCUUCGGGGUAAAGAUUUAUCGCCAAAAGAUGAGCCCGCGUCAGAUUAGCUAGUUGGUGGGGUAACGGCCUACCAAGGCAACGAUCUGUAGCUGGUCUUAGAGGACGAUCAGCCACACUGGAACUGAGACACGGUCCAGACUCCUACGGGAGGCAGCAGUGGGGAAUAUUGGGCAAUGGGGGCAACCCUGAUCCAGCCAUGCCGCGUGAGUGAUGAAGGCC
rnacentral:rRNA from 1 species